rnacentral:rRNA from 1 species
AUUGAACGCUGGCGGCAGGCCUAACACAUGCAAGUCGAGCGGUAGCACAGAGAGCUUGCUCUCGGGUGACGAGCGGCGGACGGGUGAGUAAUGUCUGGGAAACUGCCUGAUGGAGGGGGAUAACUACUGGAAAUGGUAGCUAAUACCGCAUAACGUCGCAAGACCAAAGAGGGGGACAUGCGGUCCUCUUGCCAUCAGAUGCGCCCAGAUGGGAUGAGCUAGUAGGUGGGGUAACGGCAAGCCUAGGCGACGAGACCUAGGGGGUCGGAGAGGAUGACCCGCCACACGGGAACUGAGAAGCGGUCCAGACUCCUACGGGAGGCAGGAGUGGGGAAUAUUGCACAAGGGGCGCAAGCCUGAUGCAGCCAUGCCGCGUGUAGGAAGAAGGCCUUCGGGUUGUAAAGUACUUUCAGCGGGGAGGAAGGCGAUAAGGUUAAUAACCUUGUCGAUUGACGUUACCCGCAGAAGAAGCACCGGCUAACUCCGUGCCAGCAGCCGCAGUAA